UCUAAAAUGGCAGACAGAUGUAUAGGAUUUAAGCUCCUACCAGGAAAUUCUUAUUUAUUUCUUUUAGAAAUUGUUACCGUAAUUUACUAGCCUUUUCCU
rnacentral:tRNA from 1 species